rnacentral:rRNA from 1 species
GAUGAACGCUGGCGGCGUGCCUAAUACAUGCAAGUCGAGCGAACAGACGAGGAGCUUGCUCCUCUGACGUUAGCGGCGGACGGGUGAGUAACACGUGGAUAACCUACCUAUAAGACUGGGAUCACUUCGGGAAACCGGAGCUAAUACCGGAUAAUAUAUUGAACCGCAUGGUUCAAUAGUGAAAGACGGUUUUGCUGUCACUUCUAGAUGGAUCCGCGCCGCAUUAGCUAGUUGGUAAGGUAACGGCUUACCAAGGCGACAAUGCGUAGCCGCCCUGAGAGGGUGAUCGACCACACUGGCACUGAGACACGGCCCAGACUCCGACGGGAGGCAGCAGGCGGGAAUCUUCCGCAAAGGGCGAAAGGCUGACGGAGCAACGCCGGGUGAGUGAUGAAGGUGUACGGAUCGGAAAACUCUGUUAUUAGGGGAGAACAAAUGUGUAAGUAACUAUGCACGUCUUGACGGUACCUAAUCAGAAAGCCACGGCUAACUACGUG